rnacentral:rRNA from 1 species
CAGUAGCCGCGGGAAUACGUAGGGUGCGAGCGUUAAUCGGAAUUACUGGGCGUAAAGCGUGCGCAGGCGGUUCGUUAAGACAGAUGUGAAAUCCCCGGGCUUAACCUGGGAACUGCAUUUGUAACUGGCGAGCUAGAGUAUGGCAGAGGGGGGUAGAAUUCCACGUGUAGCAGUGAAAUGCGUAGAGAUGUGGAGGAAUACCGAUGGCGAAGGCAGCCCCCUGGGCCAAUACUGACGCUCAUGCACGAAAGCGUGGGGAGCAAACAGGAUUAGAUACCCCCGUAGUCCCUGUCUCUUAUAC